rnacentral:rRNA from 1 species
GACGAACGCUGGCGGCGUGCUUAAAACAUGCAAGUCGAACGAAGUGGCGAACGGGUGAGUAACGCGUAAGCAACCUGCCCUUCAGAGGGGGACAACAGUUGGAAAAGACUGCUAAUACCGCAUACUGUAGGAGGGGAUUGCGUGUGCGUAGGUAGUGGGAGGGGUAAUGGCCCACAAAGGCGAUGAUCAGUAGCCGGGCUUGGAGGAUGACCGGCUACAUUGGGACUGAGACACGGCCCAGACUCCUACGGGAGGCAGCAGUGGGGAAUCUUCCGCAAUGGACGAAAGUCUGACGGAGCAACGCCGCGUGAGUGAUGACGGCUUUCGGGUUGUAAAGCUCUGUUAAUCGGGACGCGGUACCGGAAUAGAAAGCCACGGCUAACUACGUGCCAGCAGCCGCGGUAAUUC